rnacentral:rRNA from 1 species
GACGUAGGGCGCGAGCGUUUGUCCGGAUUUAUUGGGCGUAAAGAGCUCGUAGGCGGCUUGUUGCGUCGACCGUGAAAACCCGCGGCUUAACUGUGGGCUUGCGGUCGAUACGGGCGGGCUGGAGUUCGGUAGGGGAGACUGGAAUUCCUGGUGUAGCGGUGAAAUGCGCAGAUAUCAGGAGGAACACCGGUGGCGAAGGCGGGUCUCUGGGCCGAUACUGACGCUGAGGAGCGAAAGCGUGGGGAGCGAACAGG